rnacentral:rRNA from 1 species
UACGUAGGGUGCAAGCGUUGUCCGGAAUUAUUGGGCGUAAAGGGCGCGUAGGCGGCUUGCCAAGUCAGGGGUGAAAUCUUUCGGCUCAACCGGAAAAGUGCCUCUGAUACUGGCGAGCUAGAGGGAGGUAGGGGCAUGUGGAACUUCCGGUGGAGCGGUGAAAUGCGUUGAUAUCGGAAGGAACGCCGGUGGCGAAAGCGACGUGCUGGAUCUCUUCUGACGCUGAGGCGCGAAAGCUAGGGGAGCGAACGGG